GACGAACGCUGGCGGCGUGCUUAACACAUGCAAGUCGAACGGAAAGGCCCUGCUUUCGUGGGGUGCUCGAGUGGCGAACGGGUGAGUAACACGUGAGUAACCUGCCUUUGACUUUGGGAUAACUUAAGGAAACUGGGGCUAAUACCGGAUAGGAGCCCCUGCUGCAUGGUGGGGGCUGGAAAGUUUCGGCGGUUGGGGAUGGACUCGCGGCUUAUCAGCUUGUUGGUGGGGUAGUGGCUUACCAAGGCUUUGACGGGUAGCCGGCCUGAGAGGGUGACCGGCCACAUUGGGACUGAGCUACGGCCCAGACUCCUACGGGAGGCAGCAGUGGAGAAUAUUGCGCAAUGGGCGGAAGCCUAAUGCAGCAACGCCGCGUGCGGGAUGACGGCCUUCGGAUUGUAGACCGCUUUCGCCUGUGACGAAGCGUGAGUGACGGUAAUGGGUAAAGAAGCACCGGCUAACUACGUG
rnacentral:rRNA from 1 species